GACGAACGCUGGCGGCGUGCCUAAUACAUGCGAGUUGAGCGCUGAAGGUUGGUACUUGUACCGACUGGAUGAGCAGCGAACGGGUGAGUAACGCGUGGGGAAUCUGCCUUUGAGCGGGGGACAGCAUUUGGAAACGAAUGCUAAUACCGCAUAAAAACUUUAAACACAAGUUUUAAGUUUGAAAGAUGCAAUUGCAUCACUCAAAGAUGAUCCCGCGUUGUAUUAGCUAGUUGGUGAGGUAAAGGCUCACCAAGGCGAUGAUACAUAGCCGACCUGAGAGGGUGAUCGGCCACAUUGGGACUGAGACACGGCCCAAACUCCUACGGGAGGCAGCAGUAGGGAAUCUUCGGCAAUGGACGAAAGUCUGACCGAGCAACGCCGCGUGAGUGAAGAAGGUUUUCGGAUCGUAAAACUCUGUUGGUAGAGAAGAACGUUGGUGAGAGUGGAAAGCUCAUCAAGUGACGGUAACUACCCAGAAAGGGACGGCUAACUACGUG
rnacentral:rRNA from 1 species